AGUGAACGCUGGCGGUAGGCCUAACACAUGUAAGUCGAACGGCAGCACAGUAAGAGCUUGCUCUUACGGGUGGCGAGUGGCGGACGGGUGAGGAAUACAUCGGAAUCUACUUUUUCGUGGGGGAUAACGUAGGGAAACUUACGCUAAUACCGCAUACGACCUACGGGUGAAAGCAGGGGAUCUUCGGACCUUGCGCGAAUGAAUGAGCCGAUGUCGGAUUAGCUAGUUGGCGGGGUAAAGGCCCACCAAGGCGACGAUCCGUAGCUGGUCUGAGAGGAUGAUCAGCCACACUGGAACUGAGACACGGUCCAGACUCCUACGGGAGGCAGCAGUGGGGAAUAUUGGACAAUGGGCGCAAGCCUGAUCCAGCCAUACCGCGUGGGUGAAGAAGGCCUUCGGGUUGUAAAGCCCUUUUGUUGGGAAAGAAAAGCAGCAGGUUAAUACCCCGCUGUUCUGACGGUACCCAAAGAAUAAGCACCGGCUAACUUCGUG
rnacentral:rRNA from 1 species